AGACUUGCACCACCUACUGGCUCUUCACUGACCGGCUAACUGAUGCUCAAAUUCGACGUAUCGAAAGCAGAACUCGACAAUGCCAACUCCUGAAGAUCUUGCUCUAAGUGGUCAAAGGGUGAGCAUACUGCAGGCAACAAAAGAUCGAGCAUACUACAGGCAACCAAGGGUCAAGACAAAUUUACAGGAUCCCUCCCUACCGUGGCCACUACCCAGCUUCCCAGUAGUGCCUUCCUAAUUUGCUGCCCAUGGUAAUGGAGACAAAUACCUGCAGAAGAACAUAAUCAAAACUCAAAGGAAAGUUGAGCAAGCACUGGAACAUUCACAAAGGCAGACAGCAGACGUGCUCAUCAAAAGCAUUUUUGCUGCAUAUUGGGUUAUCAGGAUGGACAUGCAUGGACUAAUCAAUGUGCUUCAAUGAGAGCUGUAGAAAAAUGGAAUGAGCAACAAAUGGAGUCAUCAUACAGCCAGCAUCAUAUAGAAGUGUGGGAGAGACAUAACCAUGCUUGCAAGGGAAGAGGAAAAUGAGCUUGAACAUACAUGAAAGAGAAUAUAUGAAGCCAGAUUCCUGAUAAGAAAGAAAGAAGAAUUUUCUUUGCUUUCAGUGAGAGCAGAAAAAAGGCCUGGAAUGGCUGCUU
rnacentral:lncRNA from 10 species